UGAGUUGCGAACGGGUGAGUAACGCGUAGGUAACCUGCCUGGUAGCGGGGGAUAACUAUUGGAAACGAUAGCUAAUACCGCAUAACAACAGUUGUUGCAUGACAGCUGUUUAAAAGAUGCAAUUGCAUCACUACCAGAUGGACCUGCGUUGUAUUAGCUAGUUGGUGAGGUAACGGCUCACCAAGGCGACGAUACAUAGCCGACCUGAGAGGGUGAUCGGCCACACUGGGACUGAGACACGGCCCAG
rnacentral:rRNA from 1 species